rnacentral:rRNA from 1 species
GAUGAACGCUGGCGGCGUGCCUAAUACAUGCAAGUCGAGCGAACUGAUUAGAAGCUUGCUUCUAUGACGUUAGCGGCGGACGGGUGAGUAACACGUGGGCAACCUGCCUGUAAGGCUGGGAUAACUUCGGGAAACCGAAGCUAAUACCGGAUAGAAUCUUCUCCUUCAUGGGAGAUGAUUGAAAGAUGGUUUCGGCUAUCACUUACAGAUGGGCCCGCGGUGCAUUAGCUAGUUGGUGAGGUAACGGCUCACCAAGGCAACGAUGCAUAGCCGACCUGAGAGGGUGAUCGGCCACACUGGGACUGAGACACGGCCCAGACUCCUACGGGAGGCAGCAGUAGGGAAUCUUCCGCAAUGGACGAAAGUCUGACGGAGCAACGCCGCGUGAGUGAUGAAGGCUUUCGGGUCGUAAAACUCUGUUGUUAGGGAAGGACAAGUACGAGAGUAACUGCUCGUACCUUGACGGUACCUAACCAGAAAGCCACGGCUAACUACGUGCCAGCAGCCGCAGUAA